rnacentral:rRNA from 1 species
CGCGUAGGCGGAUUAGAAAGUUGGGGUGAAAUCCCAGGGCUCAACCCUGGAACUGCCUCCAAAACUACUAGUCUAGAGUUCGAGAGAGGUGAGUGGAAUUCCGAGUGUAGAGGUGAAAUUCGUAGAUAUUCGGAGGAACACCAGUGGCGAAGGCGGCUCACUGGCUCGAUACUGACGCUGAGGUGCGAAAGUGUGGGGAGCAAACA